GUUGGGCGUGGUGGCUCAUGCCUGUAAUCCCAGCGCUUUGGGAGUCUGAGACAGGAGGAUUGCUUGAGCCCAGGAGUUCAAGGCUGCAGUGAGCUGUGAUUGUGCCACUACACUCCAGCCUGGGCCACAGAGCAAGACCCUGUCUUAA
rnacentral:SRP_RNA from 2 species